CCAUAGUGUACCUACUGCAUGGUGAUGCCAAAAAAAUCUAGUUUUACAAUUCCUUUUCUAAGAUAUGGGGUCUCAUUUUUUAUUAUUAUAAACUGUGCAGUGAUCAUCUUAAAUAAAUAGUUUGAUGUAUUUGUUGGAUCAUUUCCUUAGGUUCAGGAUAAAUCCAAGAGGCAGAAGUGCUGACUCUAAGGGUGUGCGCAUCCUUUGUUUGGGUCCACCUUGCCACACCGUCCCCCAGAAGGCCUGCUUGUGCUCUCGCCAGCUCACUGCUGCUCAUUUCUUUACAGCCUCAUUGAUAGCAAUCACGAUCAGUUUUGCCAAAAGAUCCACAAUCUGAUAUAUACAUAUUUUUUAUGAUGGUGGAGAUUAAACUCACAUGCAAAGCAAGUGCUCUAUCUCUGAGUUGUAUUCCCAGUGCCUGAAGAGCAUUCUUGAUUUUUUUGCUGGGGGGUGGGGGGUGGUGAGGUGAAGGUACUGGGGAUUGAACUCAGGGGCACUCAACCACUGAGCCACAUCCCCACCCCUAUUUUGUAUUUUAUUUAGAGACAGGGUCUCACUGACUUGCUUAGAGCCUCACUUUUGCUGAGGCUGGCUUUGAACUCACAAUCCUCCUCCCUCAGCCUCCCCAGCCACUGGGAUGGCAGGUGUGUGCCAUUGCACCUGGCCUGAAGAGCAUUCUUA
rnacentral:lncRNA from 1 species